UACGGAGGGUGCAAGCGUUAAUCGGAAUUACUGGGCGUAAAGCGCACGCAGGUGGCUGAGUCAGUCGAUUGUGAAGCCCUGGGCUUAACCUGGGAAUUGCAGUCGAUACUACUCAGCUAGAGUAUGGGAGAGGGUAGUGGAAUUCCCGGUGUAGCGGUGAAAUGCGUAGAGUAUCGGGAGGAACAUCAGUGGCGAAGGCGGCUACCUGGCCCAUACGUGAACACUCAGGUGCGACGAG
rnacentral:rRNA from 1 species